AUUGAACGCUGGCGGCAUGCCUUACACAUGCAAGUCGAACGGUAACAGGUUAAGCUGACGAGUGGCGAACGGGUGAGUAAUGUAUCGGAACGUGCCCAGUCGUGGGGGAUAACUGCUCGAAAGAGCAGCUAAUACCGCAUACGACCUGAGGGUGAAAGCGGGGGAUCGCAAGACCUCGCGCGAUUGGAGCGGCCGAUAUCAGAUUAGGUAGUUGGUGAGGUAAAGGCUCACCAAGCCGACGAUCUGUAGCUGGUCUGAGAGGACGACCAGCCACACUGGGACUGAAACCCGGCCCAACCCCCUCCGGGGGGCAGGGGUGGGGAAUUUGGGACAAUGGGCGCAAGCCUGACCCAGCCAUGCCGCGGGGGGGAAGAGGGCCUUCGGGUUGUAAACCGCUUUUGGCAGGAAAAAAAAUGUUCUGGCUAAUACCUGGGACUCAUGACGGUACCUAAAAAAAAAACACCGGCUAACUACGG
rnacentral:rRNA from 1 species